UCAUUUUCCAUUGGUUUAUAUUUAUUGUCCUGUAUAUAAUAACUGGUAAACUACAACUAAGUGACUUUUAUACAAUUCAAAGGUUUAGCAUUGUACUCUUAAUAACGAAACAUGUUUAGAUUAUUGAAAGUAACACAGCAUGAGUGACAGGAGGCUUGACAAAUGGGAAGGAAGACAGGGUCUCUGGUUGCAUCAUCACCAGCAGCUGUCCCAGCUAGCACAUUUGGUUCCUUGGAAGCUGUGGGAACGUACAUUUUAAGUAGUUAAGAUUCCUGACGGUUAAAACAAAAACGUUUUGUAUUACUUUCUGAGAAUAGAAGUGAAAACUUAGCCUGUUCUGGGCACGUUAAUAUUUAGGUUGCAGGGUUCCCCUGAAAGCCAGCCUGGGAGUUUUUUUAUUAACAUUCUGAGAAUGGAAAUUCAAGGAUAUUUUGAAGGUAAUUAAAUAACGUUCUGAGAACAUGUUUCAGUAAGACUUUUAAUAACGCUGCUAGUUUAGUUUGGGUUAACUGUUAUGAACUCCCAGCACAGAUAGGACACAUGGACAGUUAUUUUUCUGGGCAUUAAAUCAUGCAAACACAUUCCUUUUUUAUUGUGGCAUGUGAGAUUCAAACCUAUGAUCUUCUGUUCUCUAUCCAUGGAAUUAGUCCACAGCUCCACCAAGAUGGAGCUAGCAUGCCAUGUUAAAAAGAAAAACUCAAACAAACCUGUUCAUUUUAGUCUUUACAAACAGACCCUAGUUAUUUCUCAACGUUCUGUGAACGUGACUUUAAAUAGAACCGUGAAGAAACCUGUAGAAAACAUUUUUGCUGAAGUACUGAAAUUCCCACAGAAGAAUGUUAUAAAACUGUAGUAAAAAUGUAAUGGGACAGUUGUAUACUAAAUAAACAUAGUACGUUCAAGCUCUAACCAAGCUCUAAGAAACAUAUGGUUUUCAGAACGUUAUGUGCUAGCUGGGGACCUAUCAGCACGGAGACAGGGAACAUGAUUGACAUCAAGUGGGACUACCUGUGUCUGGGUGCAAGCGUUUUGCUAGCUGGGGCAUUUGCCACAUACAGAGUUUAGGUGACCCACUGGCUUGUAAAACAAGCAGACCCUCUGUCUUUGACCUCAUGUCAGGUCAGAGCCGGUUACCAGGACACCUCUGGUUAAAAGCAGGGUGUAGGGGAUAGAUUAGCCUUAUACAGCAGGGGCAAUGUGAUUGGUAACACCGACCACAAACUCGCCCAAUCAAAACACCUUUGUCUGCAGAGAGCCAAUCCAGGACUGGUUUAUGAGUUCGACAGUAGGAGUUGGUAGAAGUGGAGCUUUGGAGCCCUGCAGAAUAACAGCCCCUCUAAGACUGUAACUAGGCAUCCCCUGCACCAGGAGACAGACAGACAGGUAACAGCCCCUCUAAGACUGUAACUAGG
ensembl:lncRNA